rnacentral:rRNA from 1 species
AUUGAACGCUGGCGGCAGGCCUAACACAUGCAAGUCGAACGGCAGCACAGAAGAGCUUGCUCUUUGGGUGGCGCGUGGCGGACGGGUGAGUAAUGUCUGGGAAACUGCCCGAUGGAGGGGGAUAACUACUGGAAACGGUAGCUAAUACCGCAUAACGUCGCAAGACCAAAGUGGGGGACCUUCGGGCCUCACACCAUCGGAUGUGCCCAGAUGGGAUUAGCUAGUUGGUGGGGUAAUGGCUCACCUAGGCGACGAUACCUAGCUGGUCUGAGGGGAGUACCAGGCACGCUGGAAAUGGGACACGGUCGAGACGCCUACGGGAGGCAGCGGUGGGGAAUAGUGCACAAUGGGCGCAAGCCUGAUGCAGCCAUGCCGCGUGUAUGAAGAAGGCCUUCGGGUUGUAAAGUACUUUCAGCGGGGAGGAAGGCGGUGAGGUUAAUAACCUUGCCGAUUGACGUUACCCGCAGAAGAAGCACCGGCUAACUCCGUGCCAGCCGCCGCUGUAA